rnacentral:rRNA from 1 species
AUUGAACGCUGGCGGCAGGCCUAACACAUGCAAGUCGAGCGGUAGCACAGAGAGCUUGCUCUCGGGUGACGAGCGGCGGACGGGUGAGUAAUGUCUGGGAAACUGCCUGAUGGAGGGGGAUAACUACUGGAAACGGUAGCUAAUACCGCAUAACGUCGCAAGACCAAAGUGGGGGACCUUCGGGCCUCAUGCCAUCAGAUGUGCCCAGAUGGGAUUAGCUAGUAGGUGGGGUAAUGGCUCACCUAGGCGACGAUCCCUAGCUGGUCUGAGAGGAUGACCAGCCACACUGGAACUGAGACACGGUCCAGACUCCUACGGGAGGCAGCAGUGGGGAAUAUUGCACAAUGGGCGCAAGCCUGAUGCAGCCAUGCCGCGUGUAUGAAGAAGGCCUUCGGGUUGUAAAGUACUUUCAGCGAGGAGGAAGGCGUUAAGGUUAAUAACCUUAGCGAUUGACGUUACUCGCAGAAGAAGCACCGGCUAACUCCGUGCCAGCAGCCGCGGUAAUACGGAGGGUGCAAGCGUUAAUCGGAAUUACUGGGCGUAAAGCGCACGCAGGCGGUCUGUCAAGUCGGAUGUGAAAUCCCCGGGCUCAACCUGGGAACUGCAUUCGAAACUGGCAGGCUAGAGUCUUGUAGAGGGGGGUAGAAUUCCAGGUGUAGCGGUGAAAUGCGUAGAGAUCUGGAGGAAUACCGGUGGCGAAGGCGGCCCCCUGGACAAAGACUGACGC